rnacentral:rRNA from 1 species
UACGGAGGGGGCAAGCGUUGUCCGGAAUCAUUGGGCGUAAAGCGCGUGUAGGCGGUCCGGUAAGUCGGCUGUGAAAGUCCAGGGCUCAACCCUGGGAUGCCGGUCGAUACUGCCGGACUAGAGUUCGGAAGAGGCGAGUGGAAUUCCCGGUGUAGCGGUGAAAUGCGCAGAUAUCGGGAGGAACACCAAUGGCGAAGGCAGCUCGCUGGGACGUUACUGACGCUGAGACGCGAAAGCGUGGGGAGCAAACAGG